UACGUAGGGUGCGAGCGUUGUCCGGAAUUAUUGGGCGUAAAGAGCUUGUAGGCGGUCUGUCGCGUCUGCUGUGAAAAUCCGGGGCUCAACCCGGACUUGCAGUGGGUACGGGCAGACUAGAGGUAGGUAGGGGAGAAUGGAAUUCCCGGUGUAGCGGUGAAAUGCGCAGAUAUCGGGAGGAACACCGGUGGCGAAGGCGGUUCUCUGGGCCUUACCUGACGCUGAGGAGCGAAAGCGUGGGGAGCGAACAGG
rnacentral:rRNA from 1 species